rnacentral:rRNA from 1 species
UACAGGGGGGGCAAGCGUUGUUCGGAAUUACUGGGCGUAAAGGGCUCGUAGGUGGCCAACUAAGUCAGACGUGAAAUCCCUCAGCUUAACUGGGGAACUGCGUCUGAUACUGGAUGGCUUGAGUUUGGGAGAGGGAUGCGGAAUUCCAGGUGUAGCGGUGAAAUGCGUAGAUAUCUGGAGGAACACCGGUGGCGAAGGCGGCAUCCUGGACCAACACUGACGCUGAGGCGCGAAAGCUAGGGGAGCAAACAGG